AACGAACGCUGGCGGCAUGCCUAACACAUGCAAGUCGAACGAGACCUUCGGGUCUAGUGGCGCACGGGUGCGUAACGCGUGGGAACCUGCCCUUAGGUUCGGAAUAACUCCCCGAAAGGGGUGCUAAUACCGGAUAAUGUCUUCGGACCAAAGAUUUAUCGCCUUUGGAUGGGCCCGCGUUGGAUUAGCUAGUUGGUAGGGUAAAAGCCUACCAAGGCGACGAUCCAUAGCUGGUCUGAGAGGAUGAUCAGCCACACUGGGACUGAGACACGGCCCAGACCUCGUCGGGAAGCAGGAAGGGGGAAUGAUGGAACAAGGGGGAAAGCCUUGACCAAGAAAUGCCGGGGGAGUAAGAAAGCCUUGGGGUUGUAAAAGUUUUUUUCCCGGGGAUAAUAAGAACAGGCCGGGGAGAAAGAGCCCGGGAAAACCCCGG
rnacentral:rRNA from 1 species